rnacentral:rRNA from 1 species
CCUACGGGAGGCAGCAGUGGGGAAUUUUGCGCAAUGCUCGUAAGAGUGACGCAGCGACGCCGCGUGAAUGACGAAGGCCUUCGGGUCGUAAAGUUCUAUCGACAGGGAAGAAAAUGCCUAUAAGUAACUGUGUAUGUAUUGACGGUACCUGUCUAAGCAGCCCCGGCUAACUAAGUGCCAGCACCCGCGGUAAUACGUAGGGGUCAAGCGUUAUCCGGAAUUACUGGGGGUAAGGGGUGCGUAGACGGCUGUGCAAGUCUGUGGUGAAAGGCGGGGGCCCAACCCCCGGACUGUACUGGAAACUGUAUGGCUGGAGUGCAGGAGAGGUAAGCGGAAUUCCUAGUGUAGCGGUGAAAUGCGUAGAUAUUAGGAGGAACACCAGUGGCGAAGGCGGCUUACUGGACUGUAACUGACGUUGAGGCUCGAAAGCGUGGGGAGCAAACAGGAUUAGAUACCCGGGUAGUC